UAGGGAAUCUUCGGCAAUGGACGGAAGUCUGACCGAGCAACGCCGCGGGAGUGAAGAAGGUUUUCGGAUCGUAAAGCUCUGUUGUUAGAGAAGAACGUUGGUAGGAGUGGAAAAUCUACCAAGUGACGGUAACUAACCAGAAAGGGACGGCUAACUACGUGCCAGCAGCCGCGGUAAUACGUAGGUCCCGAGCGUUGUCCGGAUUUAUUGGGCGUAAAGCGAGCGCAGGCGGUUCUUUAAGUCUGAAGUUAAAGGCAGUGGCUUAACCAUUGUACGCUUUGGAAACUGGAGGACUUGAGUGCAGAAGGGGAGGGUGGAAUUCCAUGUGUAGCGGUGAAAUGCGUAGAUAUAUGGAGGAACACCGGUGGCGAAAGCGGCUCUCUGGUCUGUAACUGACGCUGAGGCUCGAAAGCGUGGGGAGCAAACAGG
rnacentral:rRNA from 1 species